UCAGCCGACGCGCCUCUCUAUGGCACUUUAGUCCUCCGAGGUGCCGCUCAGUCAGCCGACGCGCCUCUCUAUGGCACUUUAGUCCUCCAGGACGCCCCUCAGUCAGCCGACGCGCCUCUCUAUGGCACUUUAGUCCUCCAGGACGCCCCUCAGUCGGCUGACGCUCGUCUCCACGGCACUUUAGUCCUCCAGGAGCCCAGAAGUGCCCGCUCAGUCCUCCCACGCUCGUCUCUAUAGCACUUUAGUCCUCCAGGAACCCUCUCAGUCCUCCCACGCGCCUCUCUAUGGCACUUUAAUCCUCCAGGACGCCCCUCAGUCAGCCGACAUGCCUCUCCAUGGCACUUUAGUUCUCCACUACGCCCCUCAGUCCACUGACGCGCCUCUCUAUGGCACUUUAAGUCCUCCAGGACAUCCCGCAGUCCGCCGACACGCGUCUCCAUGGCGAUUUAGUCCUCUAGGAUCCAGGAAGUGCUCAUCAGUCUUCUGGAAAUCACCUGCUUCCAGCACUCUUCUAAAACCAUAAAACAUGAUUACCAAUUAACCACAAAAAUAUCUGAAGAUUGCAAAAAUAAAGUGACGCCUGCAGAACUCUCUUCUCUACAGCAACAAGUAGACAGAACUUAAACAAAAGCGAUGCAGAGGGACAAGAUGUGCACCAAAGAGUCAUGGAGAAGGCAAGCGGGACCCUGUAAGAAGGUGCAGGAUGCAGGCUCAGAGGGACUAAGCCGCAUGCUGAUGAGCGUGCUGAGAAGGUGCCCUGUGAGCCAUCUUUGGAAGUGGGUGAGCAUUAGAGGUGAGCCGAGGCAGCAGUGAGGAGGAGCUUGUGGCUGGUGAUUUCUCACAUGUGCAACAGUAAUUUUGUUUCUUGGUAUCUCAAGCAAUGAUGGCCACAGCAUUUGACUCUGGAAGGAGCAGGUACACUGCAUUUUGAGGAAUUCACAACUUUACGGAAGAGGGAGCUGUUUUUUUUCAGCGGGUUUGCUGUAUGCUGUGCAUGUGCCUCCAGCAAGGCACAGACGGUUCCCACGGCAAGGAAGGAUCCCUCCCAGCCAUCCCUGACGGAGCGCACCACCAGCACAGAGCGCCAGGAGCUCGCUGCCUCUGUCGUCUGCAUGUGUGAGCCACCGUGCCUCUGGGAUGCCUCAUGGGAGAAGAGCAUCGAGGCACCCACCACAGACUCCUAGGCAGGCAAGGGUCAGGCUGCCAGCACCACUGAGGAGCAAGGGGCAGAGAGAGAUGCCUCUGGGCCAUAAAGUCUCCCACCUGCGCCAGGAGCUGUGAGGAAGAGGAGGAAGCUGAUGACUGCAGGAAGAUAUCAGAUGGCUGUUUUUUGUGGAUUGUGUCAAGGAUGGUUUCUGACCCCUGGCCAUCCACAAGCUAAGUUGAGACACUGGUGCCCGAGAGGGGCCAAGGGGAUGAGGUUGACAGUUGCUGAAAGGGGUCUUUGAAGUUAGCGUAGGGGCGAGGGCUUCUCCUGGGGCACUGUCUCCUUUGGGCAGGUAAAGGAUGUGGCUUACUGUUCAGUGUGAUGCUAGCACAUCCCGGGCAGGGCAGUUCCAGCCUGUGUCAGUUGUCAUGUUGUUCGUGUGGUCCAUGUUCUGCGUCUUAGACCUUUCUUGGGUCGCGAGGUCAUCUUUUAAGCUCCAGAAGCACAGCGUGGCGCCUCAGGCACCCUCCCUAGGGUCUCGAAUGCUUGCACCCCUGCGCAUAGCACCAUUCGGCUGCUGGUCUUCUUGCGUUCGAAGCUUAAAGCAUGCUUCGGUCUUGUGUCUUGGAAGCUUCAGGACAGCCCACUUCUGCGACUGGGGCUUCUUCCCUACAUCAUUACAUUCUUAGGUCUUGAAGCCAGUCUUCCUGCGCAUACAUCUUAGCAGUCUUGACAGUCCCUCCUUAUCACAGAUGAUGAUGAUGUAAACUUUGUUUCAGGGUCUUCCAUAGAGCCUCUUCACAUCACCACCGUGGUUUCCAGGUCUUCUUGCCUGAUGGUGACUUCAAUCCAGGUGUCAUCCUUCUUGCUGGGAGUUUUCUCUCAUUCUUGAGGCGUGUUGUUUUUAGUGUUCUGUGUAGUCUUGGUCUCUGAUUGUGUGUGUGUGUGUCUGGCUCGGAACCCCCCUGCCCAGGUGUGCAGAGCUCAAGGCAGGCAGAAUAGUGACAAGAGUCUAUAGUUAAUAUGUGGAUCUGUUGAGACUGAGGCAAAGGUUGGGUAGUCAUCUGGAAUUGAUUAGCUCUCAGUAGGUUGGGUGCAUGGGUGUUUCAUUAGUGGGUGUUGGCAUAAGCAGA